rnacentral:rRNA from 1 species
AACGAACGCUGGCGGCAUGCCUAACACAUGCAAGUCGAACGAGAACUUCGGGUCUAGUGGCGCACGGGUGCGUAACGCGUGGGAAUCUGCCCUUGGGUUCGGAAUAACAGUGAGAAAUUACUGCUAAUACCGGAUGAUGACGAAAGUCCAAAGAUUUAUCGCCCAAGGAUGAGCCCGCGUAGGAUUAGCUAGUUGGUAAG